GACGAACGCUGGCGGCGUGCUUAACACAUGCAAGUCGAACGGAAAGGCCCUGCUUUUGUGGGGUGCUCGAGUGGCGAACGGGUGAGUAACACGUGAGUAACCUGCCCUUGACUUUGGGAUAACUUCAGGAAACUGGGGCUAAUACCGGAUAGGAGCUCCUGCUGCAUGGUGGGGGUUGGAAAGUUUCGGCGGUUGGGGAUGGACUCGCGGCUUAUCAGCUUGUUGGUGGGGUAGUGGCUUACCAAGGCUUUGACGGGUAGCCGGCCUGAGAGGGUGACCGGCCACAUUGGGACUGAGAUACGGCCCAGACUCGUACGGGAGGCAGCAGUGGGGAAUAUUGCACAAUGGGCGGAAGCCUGAUGCAGCAACGCCGCGUGCGGGAUGACGGCCUUCGAGUUGUAAACCGCUUUCGCCUGUGACGAAGCGUGAGUGACGGUAAUGGGUAAAGAAGCACCGGCUAACUACGUG
rnacentral:rRNA from 1 species